CAAUAUUUCCCUCGUAAAAUGCGCAAUUUUUGAUCGAUUUCUUCCAUUUUUUGACCAUUCUGUUUGUCUGUCCAGUGCGCUAAAAAUAGACAUAUAUUAACAACAGAAGGGACAGAACUCGAGAAGACAUUUAAGAAAAUCUAUUAUGCUGUACUGGUCAAUGAGAUCAACAGAUAAGAGAUAUGACUAGAGUUACUUGAUUGAGUACAACACACAUAAAACAUCAAAGACAGUCAAUUUGGUCAUGGUUCUUUGUAUCUAACAAUAGAGAACAGUAGGGAACUUU
rnacentral:lncRNA from 1 species